UGACCAGGGGCCGGUAACAAGAAAUUUUAUUAAGAGAGGUCGUAAGCAUGGAAUUAAGGGGAAGAUAAGAUAAUUCUAAGAUCAUUCAAAGAGUGUAAAUCAAAGCUCCCUCAGGUUGUUCGUAGAUUGGUCUUAUUUCCCCCUUAAGUUGCAUCGUAAUAGUUUUCAAGUUACGAGUUCUUAAUAAUUUUCUGGCGUCUCCGUUUUUGGUUCCUCGCAAAGAAAUUAAAAUCACCUUAAAUGAAUCAUAAACAUGUUUUAAUGAACGAUAAAAUGCGCAUAACAAUCAACUACCCAUUUAACUUAAGGAAAACAAUUCUGGCCUCAGACCACCAUUAUUCUUCCCC
rnacentral:lncRNA from 1 species